CGUAGGACGUAACAGACUGCAGCGCCAACAGGUGAGACAGGUGGCGACAAAAAGACACGAUAAAUAAGAGAAGAUAAAGAAAAGAAUAAAAAGAGAAGAUAAAGAAAAGAAUAAAAAGCGGAACUGACGAGACCACAAUUGAAAAAAGACCCGUUUCAUGAAAUGUGUUUACAAGCAGCAGUCAGGGACCAGUGCCAUGUUCUGGUGGGGAAGAAGAUGGAGAACAAAACCACCGCCAUGAUGAAGCCACGACUCCUGAGUGGACAGGGGACCCUCUCCUUGGGAUUAUACUCCAGGUUGGUUCGGCCUCAUCUCUCCGGAUUACGUUGAUAAAAACAUUCUUGUAUUAUAUUUUCUGUGCUUAUUGU